rnacentral:rRNA from 1 species
GUGAGGAAUUUUCCGCAAUGGGCGAAAGCCUGACGGAGCAAUGCCGCGUGAAGGAUGAAGGCCUAUGGGUUGUAAACUUCUUUUCUCAGAAAAGAAUUAUGACGGUAUCUGAGGAAUAAGCAUCGGCUAACUCUGUGCCAGCAGCCGCGGUAAGACAGAGGAUGCAAGCGUUAUCCGGAAUGAUUGGGCGUAAAGCGUCUGUAGGUUGUUUAAAAAGUAUUCUGUCAAAGAUUAGGGCUUAACCCUAGAUAGGCAGAAUAAACUUUUAAGAUAGAGUUUGGUAGAGGCAGAAGGAAUUCCCGGUGGAGCGGUGAAAUGCGUAGAUAUCGGGAGGAACACCAAAGGCGAAGGCACUCUGCUGGGCCAAUACUAACACUGAGAGACGAAAGCGAGGGGAGCAAAUGGGAUUAGAAACCCCGGUAGUCC